ACGAUAUGCUUUGGGGAGCUGUAAGUAAGCUUUGAUCCAGAGAUUUCCGAAUGGGGAAACCCAGCAUGAGUUAUGUCAUGUUAUCGAUAUGUGAAUACAUAGCAUAUCAGAAGGCACACCCGGAGAACUGAAACAUCUUAGUACCCGGAGGAAGAGAAAGAAAAUUCGAUUCCCUUAGUAGCGGCGAGCGAAACGGGAAGAGCCCAAACCAACAAGCUUGCUUGUUGGGGUUGUAGGACACUCUAUACGGAGUUACAAAGGACGACAUUAGACGAAUCAUCUGGAAAGAUGAAUCAAAGAAGGUAAUAAUCCUGUAGUCGAAAAUGUUGUCUCUCUUGAGUGGAUCCUGAGUACGACGGAGCACGUGAAAUUCCGUCGGAAUCUGGGAGGACCAUCUCCUAAGGCUAAAUACUCUCUAGUGACCGAUAGUGAACCAGUACCGUGAGGGAAAGGUGAAAAGCACCCCGGAAGGGGAGUGAAAUAGAACCUGAAACCGUGUGCUUACAAGUAGUCAGAGCCCGUUAAUGGGUGAUGGCGUGCCUUUUGUAGAAUGAACCGGCGAGUUACGAUUUGAUGCAAGGUUAAGCAGUAAAUGUGGAGCCGUAGCGAAAGCGAGUCUGAAUAGGGCGUUUAGUAUUUGGUCGUAGACCCGAAACCAGGUGAUCUACCCUUGGUCAGGUUGAAGUUCAGGUAACACUGAAUGGAGGACCGAACCGACUUACGUUGAAAAGUGAGCGGAUGAACUGAGGGUAGCGGAGAAAUUCCAAUCGAACCUGGAGAUAGCUGGUUCUCUCCGAAAUAGCUUUAGGGCUAGCCUCAAGUGAUGAUUAUUGGAGGUAGAGCACUGUUUGGACGAGGGGCCCCUCUCGGGUUACCGAAUUCAGACAAACUCCGAAUGCCAAUUAAUUUAACUUGGGAGUCAGAACAUGGGUGAUAAGGUCCGUGUUCGAAAGGGAAACAGCCCAGACCACCAGCUAAGGUCCCAAAAUAUAUGUUAAGUGGAAAAGGAUGUGGCGUUGCCCAGACAACUAGGAUGUUGGCUUAGAAGCAGCCAUCAUUUAAAGAGUGCGUAAUAGCUCACUAGUCGAGUGACACUGCGCCGAAAAUGUACCGGGGCUAAACAUAUUACCGAAGCUGUGGAUUGUCCUUUGGACAAUGGUAGGAGAGCGUUCUAAGGGCGUUGAAGCAUGAUCGUAAGGACAUGUGGAGCGCUUAGAAGUGAGAAUGCCGGUGUGAGUAGCGAAAGACGGGUGAGAAUCCCGUCCACCGAUUGACUAAGGUUUCCAGAGGAAGGCUCGUCCGCUCUGGGUUAGUCGGGUCCUAAGCUGAGGCCGACAGGCGUAGGCGAUGGAUAACAGGUUGAUAUUCCUGUACCACCUAUAAUCGUUUUAAUCGAUGGGGGG
rnacentral:rRNA from 1 species